GUUAGUGUGGCAGAGCCGGGCUAUGCAAAAGACCUAAACCCUUUUAACUGGGGUUCAAAUCCCCCCACUAACU
rnacentral:tRNA from 1 species